AAAGUGGCCUACGCUACUGCAAUGGACUGGUUCAUAGCUGUCUGCUAUGCCUUU
rfam:Picoides pubescens contig45061, whole genome shotgun sequence.